rnacentral:lncRNA from 1 species
CCGUGCCUCACCCUUUAAUCAGUUCAUGGGUGGAUUGGAAAUCAGCUAAGUGAAACAGCAAACUAUGCAAGAGAAAAAAAUGACAGUAAUUUCCUCCACGACAUAAUAGAAGUUUAGAAUUUGUAUUUUAGGUGAGUUUUUUUAUUGAGUUAUGUAUUUAAAACU